rnacentral:rRNA from 1 species
UACGUAGGGUGCGAGCGUUGUCCGGAAUUAUUGGGCGUAAAGGGCUCGUAGGCGGUUCGUCACGUCGGGAGUGAAAACUCAGGGCUUAACCCUGAGCCUGCUUCCGAUACGGGCAGACUAGAGGUAUGCAGGGGAGAACGGAAUUCCUGGUGUAGCGGUGAAAUGCGCAGAUAUCAGGAGGAACACCGGUGGCGAAGGCGGGUCUCUGGGCCGAUACUGACGCUGAGGAGCGAAAGCGUGGGAGCGAACAGG